CAUGUUGAAACACAGCUUCCCAUACGAUCACCAAUGUUAAGCAAUAUUGACACUGGUUAGUACCUAGGUGGGUUACUGCUUGGGAAUACCAGGUGCUGCAG